AGAAGUUGUCAAAGUCAAUUGCUAUAGAAACUAAUACCGAGCAGUGUUUUAAUAAAGUUUACUUGACGCCUGUGAUUCAAUAAUUACAAAUAAAAGUACUUUUAGGAUUUUUUUGAAUUUUGUACUAUACCUUGUAAGUAAGGUAUUAGUUUGUAAGUCAAUAAAAUCAGAAUUAGAAAAGUUUUUCAUGUAAAAUAUGACGAAAGUUGAGAAUAUAUAGUAGGUACCUACCUACAUACUUAUUUCAUAAAGCAGAAUUACAGUUUUAGAGUUAGUUGAAGUGAAUUUAAUUAAUUGUGUUAUUUUUGUAGUGUUUACCGACAUUGCCAUGUACAAUACAAUGCAUGUAGCAUUUGUAUUGUACGCGGAAACGGAACGAAAAAGAUGUCUUUGUCGAGUUCAUUGCAAAACUUUCGUGUCGCGAUACCAGCAGGUUUUAGAAGAAAUACAAAGUCUUCGAACAACUGCUGUUCGCAAUGAAUUAGAGAUAAGUAAGUUAUAUGAAUGAAUGAAGGAAUUUUCUUCAUUCUCUGCGUUGAGCAAGUGACGUGGACUAUGGGCCUAACCCCUCUCAUUCUGAGAGGAGACUCGAGCUCAGCAGUGAGCCGAAUAUGGUAUUUUUAUAUGGUCUUGGCAGCUUUAAACUUUUAUGCCAAUGGAUCAUACAAAUGGCUUUGUGAUGGCUAAGGCAUCUUUUAGCAAAUGCCUACAUGAAGUCGCUGACGCUCCUGAAUACCCCAGCUGUUUAAAAAAAAUGUGUUAAGUUCCCUUUGCAUUAAACACAAAAUCAUUAUAAAUAAAUAUGUGAUGCCAAUCUAAUAAUAACAUAGUUGCUCAAUUUGGUGGUGCAUCUUAUGACUUGUACAUAUGGAACCAGUGCAAUAAGACCACUUGAGGAAAACCUGCCCAAUAGGGACCGCUGUUGGUUGUUAGGUGACCAAUGUUUGCAUGAUGACCCCCAUCUUGGGAGCUGCUCCUAGAUCCCAUGAAGAUAUGCACAACAUUGCUGUUUCAGAAAUACGGUGGAGCCUUGUAGUUGGGUGCAUAUUGUAAAAUGUUUCCUCACUCCAAAACCAUGAACUCUGGUUUCCUAAACCCUCAAGCUAUGCAGCCGAAGGAGGAGACUUAUCACAGGAGAAUCACUAAUAAUUUUGAAGAAGUGAAGAGCUUAACAAUGUUUCAACCAACACCUAAAGAAGCUUUCACUUGGCUGUUAGAUCAAGGGCUGGAUACAGAAAACAGUAAUCCUUGUGAUGGCAGUAUUGUCCAAGGAUUCCUCACUCAAAACCAUGAUAACAAGUUGCUAGAACCCUCAAGCUAUGCAGACAAAGGACUGGAUAUAUUUUUUCGUGACCAAGCCUUCUGUAUAAUUAUUUAUACUUAAACCAUACAAAGCACUAUCUAGCCCCAAAGUAGGCAUACAGAGUAGCUUGUGUUGUGGGUACUAAGAUAGUUGAUAUUAUAAUAUUCAUUUACAUUUAUAUACUACCUAUAAAUACUUAUAUAAUGUAUAAAUACACACACACUGGAAAAAACCCAUGCUCUUCACACAAAUAUUUUCCAGGUGUGGGAAUCGAACCCAUGACCGUGGAUGCAGGAGCACUACUUACUGCGCCACGCGUAUGUGUUUUUAUUUUGAAGCAAAUUAUUAAAGUUGAUAAUUCAAAUUGUA